rnacentral:snRNA from 1 species
AGCUUUGCGCAGUGGCAGUAUCGUAGCCAAUGAGGUUUCACCGAGGUGCGAUUAUUGCUAAUAGAAAGCCACAGAU